rnacentral:tRNA from 1 species
AGUACAGUACUUUAAUAAAAAGGAUUGAUUUGCAUUCAGUUAUUGGGUUAUAUGCCCCUAUACUU